rnacentral:rRNA from 1 species
UACGUAGGGCGCAAGCGUUAUCCGGAAUUAUUGGGCGUAAAGAGCUCGUAGGCGGUUUGUCGCGUCUGCCGUGAAAGUCCGGGGCUCAACUCCGGAUCUGCGGUGGGUACGGGCAGACUAGAGUGAUGUAGGGGAGACUGGAAUUCCUGGUGUAGCGGUGAAAUGCGCAGAUAUCAGGAGGAACACCGAUGGCGAAGGCAGGAUCUC